CAAGCGAGUGCUGAAGCUCAGGUUGUGAGAAAAGCCGAACUUUAAUUCACACAGCAUCUGAAGUUAAGCCGACAUGAGCGCUGACGUCAUGUUUGCGCUGAGAUUGAAACUAAAACUUUUGAAGAAACCAGAGGCUCACAGGAGACGCUGUGAAGAGGACUGAAACAAACAUGAUGAGCUGCUGCCAUCUGCUGGAAACACACCUUCACUCGCCUGCAACCUUACACAUAAAUGAUGAACUGAGAACAAGAUGAGACAAGACAUCAUGCUCAGCAGACUGAUACUGCUGUCUGCCCUCUGUAUGGCAACAUCUGCAUCUCUGGGUAAUGCACAGUGCAAUGCAACACACUCAGAUGGUGAGAUUAUUAAACAUUAAUGCAACAUCUUGUGCAUGCAUGACAGUACUCAAAGACACAUAGGCCUAACCCAGUAAACUGCAAUGUAUGGAGUAUGUAUGAAGGCGAUCUGGUAUAGUACAGCACAUAUAUGCAAAAGCAUUUGCAGUCUGUCGAGGAGACCAAUUAUAAUAAGGUGGCGCCCCCUAGUGGAUAGAAUUAAACAUCAGGCCUGGGUGUCAUACUUUCUUUACUUUUCAGAAGAGUCAUCAAAUGUUCUGUAAAAUCUUUUAUUUUCAUUUUAUUAUUAUUAUUAUUAUUAUUUACUUUUAUAGUUUUAUUUAUUUACUUUAUUUAUUUUUUAAACUCAGGUAGUCUUUAUGAUCUAUUACAUUUCACACUGAUGAAUAACAUUUGCAAGAUGAAGGCAUUUUUUUUCCCCCUGUGUCAUAAUAAGCUCAGCUUUUACAGUUAACAAGUACAAUCUCAUUCCCUAUCAUGUAAAUACAUAUUAACGUCUGUUUGCCGCGGCCUUGCGCCUUUAUAGACUUUGCGCUGUACACUAGUCCUGUUUGGGGCUAGUAUCUCCGUAUUACAAACUAAUCUGAGUACCUGCAAAGUAAUAAAUAAAUAUCUAUGGUUUUUCCUAGAAACAGGAUCAUGCAGUCUCACUACUGAGUGAGUACUUAAUUAACAUUAGUGCAUUGUAUCAUAAUAGUUAGCUCAUAGAUUUCAACCAAAUAUAUUUUAUUCCCACUGUUACAGUAGAACCAGCAAUCAAACUUUGAACAGCUGUGAUCUGAAUAAUCUGAAAAACUUCAGCUCUCUGAUUUUAAAUGCAGUGGAUGACACUGUACACCAUCUACAAUGUAUAUCAAACAGCCCAGCAAGUUUUCCUCAAGAAAAACUUCACAUGCUCCAAACUGAGCUUGGAAAGAUCAUUGCAUCAACACUAAAUGUUAUGGUUCACCUUGUAAGAAAAACACAUUUAAAACUAUUUAAACUUGCUGGAAAACAUCAGCUGGCUGCUUUGCUUUUUGCUUAUUUUAUUUUUAUUUAGCGCUUUCUGAUUUUCUGAAAUAUUUGCCUUAAUGAUUGCAAUCAGAUGAACCAUCAAAUGUUUAUAAUUUAUUUCUUUCAAUAUCAAUGAACACUGUGAACUAUAUGCAGGGUGCAAUUUCAGCCUGAACGCUGUUAGUGAGUUAUCAUAUAAUUAUGUGCAUAAUGAAGUUUAUUUUUAUUUUAGGGAGUUUCUUCAAACGAGGACAUUGCUGACAGUUUUGGUGCUUUACACACACUGACUGCAGAAAAUGUGCAAAACAUGGAGUUUGUUCAGUCAUGGAUCUGUGUCAGGCUUAUUCCACUCCUCCCGUUUAUUACCACAGAGUUUAUAUCCAACAUGAGCAAGAUAAACUUUUCAUGUGUCAGCUACCAGACAAUGUAUGAAUCAAAAUUUUGUAUAUACUAAUAUUACAGAGAAGCAAAUUGAAAUUGUGGCUAAUCUUUAAACAUUUUUUUUGUGAAUAGAGUCAAAACACUCAGUCAGCAGGUGAAUCUGAUCAAUGGAACAUCUAAGACCUCCAUCUACACCCAAUUCAUUCAGCCAUUCUUGUCUAGACAACUUUCAGAUCCUGCAUGUCUUUCUAACAUUAUGAGCAGUGCUGAAUGGCUUGUGAAAAAUUUUGGUGAAUUUUCAUUCUACGCUACCUUAAAGGAUCUACAAACUCUGAAUGUAAAUUUUUCCAGUCUGGCAGCUUUGGAAUCCCUGUCACCUGACCAGAAAGCAGAGCUGCUGUUGGAUCCGUCCACCGGUGCUCUUGAAAAUGUGACCGUGGUGAAGGAGGUGUUGAGCAGCAUCCUAAAAGCCCCAGAUGAGGAGCAGCUAGAGAAAUUCUUUGAAACGUUUGUGGAGGUCAGCAAGGAGG
ensembl:lncRNA